rnacentral:rRNA from 1 species
AUUGAACGCUGGCGGCAGGCCUAACACAUGCAAGUCGAGCGGAUGAAGGGAGCUUGCUCCUGGAUUCAGCGGCGGACGGGUGAGUAAUGCCUAGGAAUCUGCCUGGUAGUGGGGGAUAACGUCCGGAAACGGGCGCUAAUACCGCAUACGUCCUGAGGGAGAAAGUGGGGGAUCUUCGGACCUCACGCUAUCAGAUGAGCCUAGGUCGGAUUAGCUAGUUGGUGGGGUAAAGGCCUACCAAGGCGGCGAUCCGUAACUGGUCUGAGAGGAUGAUCAGUCACACUGGAACUGAGACACGGUCCAGACUCCUACGGGAGGCAGCAGUGGGGAAUAUUGGACAAUGGGCGAAAGCCUGAUCCAGCCAUGCCGCGUGUGUGAAGAAGGUCUUCGGAUUGUAAAGCACUUUAAGUUGGGAGGAAGGGCAGUAAGUUAAUACCUUGCUGUUUUGACGUUACCAACAGAAUAAGCACCGGCUAACUUCGU